rfam:Gorilla gorilla gorilla genomic chromosome, chrX, whole genome shotgun sequence
GCUAGGCGUGGUGGCUCAUGCCUGUAAUCCCAGCACUUUGGGAGGCCAAGGUGAGCAGAUUGAUUGAGGCUAGGGGUUCAGGACCAGCCUGGCCAACAUAAUAAAACCCCGUCUCUACUAAAAGUACAAAAAUUAGCUAGGUGUGGGAUUAUAGGUGCGCACCUAUAAUCCCACACCUAGCUAAUUUUUGUACUUUUAGUAGAGACGGGGUUUUAUUAUGUUGGCCAGGCUGGUCCUGAACCCCUAGCCUCAAUCAAUCUGCUCACCUU